rnacentral:lncRNA from 1 species
GGUUUGAUGAUUAGGGGCACUUUGAGAAAUUAUAACAGGUCCUACUGAGAGCCUCCCUUUUUGAAUCAGGUGCAAAGGAUAGUAUUUGGAAGCCCCGGGCAAGAGCUUCUGCAGGAGACAGUUACAAAUUAGUCCUCUUACUCUUGUAAGCUGAGUGGUUGGCACCUGGUCCAGAACACGGCCUUCAGCAUUAGAGAACAUUCCCAAGCCACAAAGAAUGAUCUGCACGUUGCCUUCCUUAUGAAAUGAGAAAGGGUCUCCAAAAGAAAUAAAACACAGGCCUUGCUCACUGGACUUGGAAGUUCAAACAGCUCCCAUCCAGAAAGGACCAUCUUGGGGGCGACAAACAGGGUGCAGUGGAGGGGUCACAGUCAGAAGAGCCAGUGCAGGCUGCUGGAGAGCAGGAAAGGGGUGGCUCCUGCCUCCUGACCACCAAGAGCACUUUCUGGACUCAGGGAUCUGCGAGUUUGAGUGAGAAUUAGCUUAAGAUUGCAAAAGAUCAUCCCUGUGCAGCUGCCAAGAUUGCUACCUACCAGGGGGCAAGUGUUUUGUAAGUUGGCUGGACACACCUAUGUGUAUUUAAGCACAGCAAUACAAUGAAAAUGAAACCUUACAUCCAACUCCAAUCCAUUCAGCUGAUAAAAAUGGAGCUGCUUUGGUUGAGUUUUGACUGUGGUGACUGAGCAUUUCUCUUGAUUGGCCUUCACCCCAC